rnacentral:rRNA from 1 species
AUUGAAAGCUGGGGGCAGGCCUAACACAUGCCAGUAGAGCGCGCGGCGGCCGGGUGAGUAAUGUCUGGGGACUGCCCGAUAGAGGGGGAUAACUACUGGAAACGGUGGCUAAUACCGCAUAGUGUCGGAUAACCCAUAUGUGAUUAGCUAGUAGGUAAGGUAAUGGCUUACUUAGGCGACGAUCCCUAGCUGGUCUGAGAGGAUGAUCAGCCACACUGGGACUGAGACACGGCCCAUACUCCUACGGAGGCAGCAGUGGGGAAUAUUGCACAAUGGGCGCAAGCCUGAUGCAGCCAUGACGCUUGUAUGAAGAAGGCCCUAGGGUUGUAAAGUACUUUCAGUCGGGAGGCGUUACCGACAGAAGAAGCACCGGCUAACUCCGUGCCAGCAGCCGCGGUAAUAC